AGAUUAAGUUAUUAAGGGCGCACGGUGGAUGCCUUGGCACUAGAAGCCGAUGAAGGACGUUACUAACGACGAUAUGCUUUGGGGAGCUGUAAGUAAGCUUUGAUCCAGAGAUUUCCGAAUGGGGAAACCCAGCAUGAGUUAUGUCAUGUUAUCGAUAUGUGAAUACAUAGCAUAUCAGAAGGCACACCCGGAGAACUGAAACAUCUUAGUACCCGGAGGAAGAGAAAGAAAAUUCGAUUCCCUUAGUAGCGGCGAGCGAAACGGGAAGAGCCCAAACCAACAAGCUUGCUUGUUGGGGUGAAACCGUGUGCUUACAAGUAGUCAGAGCCCGUUAAUGGGUGAUGGCGUGCCUUUUGUAGAAUGAACCGGCGAGUUACGAUUUGAUGCAAGGUUAAGCAGUAAAUGUGGAGCCGUAGCGAAAGCGAGUCUGAAUAGGGCGUUUAGUAUUUGGUCGUAGACCCGAAACCAGGUGAUCUACCCUUGGUCAGGUUGAAGUUCAGGUAACACUGAAUGGAGGACCGAACCGACUUACGUUGAAAAGUGAGCGGAUGAACUGAGGGUAGCGGAGAAAUUCCAAUCGAACCUGGAGAUAGCUGGUUCUCUCCGAAAUAGCUUUAGGGCUAGCCUCAAGUGAUGAUUAUUGGAGGUAGAGCACUGUUUGGACGAGGGGCCCCAGUGGAAAAGGAUGUGGCGUUGCCCAGACAACUAGGAUGUUGGCUUAGAAGCAGCCAUCAUUUAAAGAGUGCGUAAUAGCUCACUAGUCGAGUGACACUGCGCCGAAAAUGUACCGGGGCUAAACAUAUUACCGAAGCUGUGGAUUGUCCUUUGGACAAUGGUAGGAGAGCGUUCUAAGGGCGUUGAAGCAUGAUCGUAAGGACAUGUGGAGCGCUUAGAAGUGAGAAUGCCGGUGUGAGUAGCGAAAGACGGGUGAGAAUCCCGUCCACCGAUUGACUAAGGUUUCCAGAGGAAGGCUCGUCCGCUCUGGGUUAGUCGGGUCCUAAGCUG
rnacentral:rRNA from 1 species